GAUAUACUGUAACCAUGUUCAUGAUGGAAGAAUACAUUUUCCUUUUAAAGGAAAUCAUUCAUUGUGUGUUUUCAUUUAUAUUGCACUGCAGUACUCUUUUAAAGUGAUCAUAUAACAACUAAUCAGUACUGAUAUUUUAUGAAAGUAGAUGAAGGAGGGAUAAUAAUACAGUUGAUGCUUUAAAUAUAUAAAAUAUAGCUGGACAGCGUUCUUAUUUCUUAGUUGAUCGAAUAGCAGCAGAUAAGAAGGUUCAUUAAAAAAGAAAAGACAUGGGAAAUUAUUUUAUCGAGACUUGAGACUUGACUUGGACUCGUGACCAAAGACUUGAGACUUGAUCAAGUCUUACCCCCCAAAGACUUCAGACUUGACUUGGACUUGCAAAAAAUGACUUGUGAACAUCUCUGCCAUGUGGCUCAUAGAACAUUUCAAAAACUGG